rnacentral:rRNA from 1 species
AGUGAACGCUGGCGGUAGGCCUAACACAUGCAAGUCGAACGGCAGCACAGUAAGAGCUUGCUCUUACGGGUGGCGAGUGGCGGACGGGUGAGGAAUACAUCGGAAUCUACUUUUUCGUGGGGGAUAACGUAGGGAAACUUACGCUAAUACCGCAUACGACCUACGGGUGAAAGCAGGGGAUCUUCGGACCUUGCGCGAUUGAAUGAGCCGAUGUCGGAUUAGCUAGUUGGCGGGGUAAAGGCCCACCAAGGCGACGAUCCGUAGCUGGUCUGAGAGGAUGAUCAGCCACACUGGAACUGAGACACGGUCCAGACUCCUACGGGAGGCAGCAGUGGGGAAUAUUGGACAAUGGGCGCAAGCCUGAUCCAGCCAUACCGCGUGGGUGAAGGAGGCCUUCGGGUUGUAAAGCCCUUUUGUUGGGAAAGAAAAGCAGCAGGUUAAUACCCCGCUGUCCUGACGGUACCCAAAGAAUAAGCACCGGCUAACUUCG